rnacentral:rRNA from 1 species
CAACUUUCAACAACGGAUCUCUUGGCUCUCGCAUCGAUGAAGAACGCAGCGAUAUGCGAUAAGUAAUGUGAAUUGCAGAAUUCAGUGAAUCAUCGAAUCUUUGAACGCACCUUGCGCUCCUUGGUAUUCCGAGGAGCAUGCCUGUUUGAGUGUCAUUA